UUGGACUUAAACCCCAAAUAUAAAGUUAAGGCUUUUUUUAGAA
rnacentral:tRNA from 1 species